rnacentral:piRNA from 1 species
UAAGACACAAUGCUCCCUAGUGACUGGCGCCU